AUGAAUUCGCCUCAAGAAGAUAAAACAUUUGAACAUAAACAAGUGAUUGAAAUUUCCGCUAGUGGAAGUGAAACAACAGAUAGUCUCUGCACCCCCUGCAAACGUGAGAUGUCUGGGGCGGUUGAAGACAAAGAAGAAGGUAACAACGAACAUCCUGACGACGUCCUUGAUGACUUGCUGGAGGCUUCAAAGUCCUUGUCUCAAGUCAGUAUUCAAGACAAUGACAUUGACUUCCAAAUUGACCAGGAAACACUGUACGACCUGGAGAAUAAAGCACAUUUGAGUAGACCAAAGGAUUCGAAAAAAUCUUCUCAAGAGCUGGCGACUGCUGAACAGAUCAACGAAUAUUCUUCUUUAGAGAAGAGCAACGAUCUUGCAGCCGCGAAGGUUGAUAAUACUGUCUCAUCGGCCAUCGACGAUGUAUCGAGUGAUGAGUCUGAUUUCUACCUAAGACUUUCUUCUCUUCAUCAAAAUACUGUUCCUCAACCAUCAACGAUAGCUCCACAAGAGCCCCAGGUCUCAACAGAUGAAGAGGAACCGCCCCAGAAACGUCUGAAGUUGCCUGAGGAAGUUUCGUCAGAAAAAACCACGGAGGUUGAUGAUAACACCGAUGAUUGGGACACCGACUUUCCUCCAGAGGCAGAACUACAGAAGAUUGAUGACACAGUUCGAGCGUUGACCCACAAUAACCUCGAGGAAUCGUUACUGAAGAGAGGGAAAGAGUCUUGCCAACUGCCUGAAGUCAACUACGAGGAAAUUACAGAAAAAAUUAUCAGCAGAAAGAGAGAAUUCAUGAAUUUGGUCGAUAACGUCUAUGAGGCGAGUUGCUAUCUUGGUAGAAUUAAGGAAAUCCUUGCAACAGCUCCUCCGUCAGGUCCAGUAACAAUUCCCCCUCCGCCAAAACCCAGUGGAUAUGAGCAGCAAUUUGAUUUUCCUGAUCGCAGCCGAUUUCCAAAAUUGCCGAUUACGGUCGCAUCUUCGGGGAGUUUUAGGAAUAAUGAGUUGAAGGAGAACCACCUCCCAAAGUCACAAUUAAAUGCUUCAUCUACUCUGGGAAAAUCCAGGAGAUCAACUCGCAGGAUAGGACCAAUCAAUAGCACCACAAUCUUGAAGCCCUUAUCAGCAAAAUCUAUGAAGAACAGAAUUGAAGUUGCUCUGCCCAAUAGAUUCAAGAAACAGCCAACUAUUGAAGAGAUGUUUGGAACUGGUAAUAAGGAGAAUGAAAAAACAGCUCGAGAAUCAGGAAAGUCGACUGAGAGCUUUGAGAAAGACACUAUCAGUGACAGUGGCUCCAUGUACAAUUUUAAUCCCCUCGUUCGUGCGAGAAAGCCAACGAAAUAAUUUCACCAUCAGAAUUGAAAUUCUUCAUUGCAAUUUAUUCCUUAUGCGUUUUAUUCAGGAUUUAAUUGUCCUCGAAAAGCUACAAAAUAAAGUGAUGAUAUCUCAUGUAAAUACCUUUCGUGAUGAUUCGUUGAAUAUCACUCACAUUAAUAGGAUACUGGUCAAGUUGGAAGUUACAAUGUUUCCCUGAGAAUCGCUGCAAAUUACCCGUAUUAUCUUAUAACAUCCAAGACUAAAAUAAACGCGGGCAAAAAUGGCCUCCACGCCAUGUGAC